CUUUGCGGCGCUCCUUAAUACAUGCAGUCGAGCGAUGGAUUAAGAGCUUGCUCUUAUGAAGUUAGCGGCGGACGGGUGAGUAACACGUGGGUAACCUGCCCAUAAGACUGGGAUAACUCCGGGAAACCGGGGCUAAUACCGGAUAACAUUUUGAACCGCAUGGUUCGAAAUUGAAAGGCGGCUUCGGCUGUCACUUAUGGAUGGACCCGCGUCGCAUUAGCUAGUUGGUGAGGUAACGGCUCACCAAGGCAACGAUGCGUAGCCGACCUGAGAGGGUGAUCGGCCACACUGGGACUGAGACACGGCCCAGACUCCUACGGGAGGCAGCAGUAGGGAAUCUUCCGCAAUGGACGAAAGUCUGACGGAGCAACGCCGCGUGAGUGAUGAAGGCUUUCGGGUCGUAAAACUCUGUUGUUAGGGAAGAACAAGUGCUAGUUGAAUAAGCUGGCACCUUGACGGUACCUAACCAAAAAGCCACGGCUAACUACGUGCCAGCAGCCGCGGUAAUACUUAGGUGGCAAGCGUUAUCCGGAAUUAUUGGGCGUAUGCGCGCGCAGGUGGUUUCUUCAUUUUGAUGUGAAGUCCCGGGGCUCAACCCCGGAGGGGGAUUGGAAACUGGGAAACUUGACUGCAAAAGGAAAGUGGAAUUCCAUGUGUAGCGGUGAAAUGCGUAGAGAUAUGGAGGAACACCAGUGGCGAAGGCGACUUUCUGGUCUGUAA
rnacentral:rRNA from 1 species